rnacentral:rRNA from 1 species
AUUGAACGCUGGCGGCAGGCUUAACACAUGCAAGUCGAGCGAGCGGCGGCCGGGUGAGUAAUGUCUGGGAAACUGCCUGAUAGAGGGGGAUAACUACUGGAAACGGUAGCUAAUACCGCAUACCAUCAGAUGUGCCCAUAUGGGAUUAGCUAGUAGGUGGGGUAAGGGCUCACCUAGGCGACGAUCCCUAGCUGGUCUGAGAGGAUGACCAGACACACUGGAAUUGGGAUACGGUCAAGACUCAUAAGGGAGGCAGCAGUGGGGAAGAGUGCAAAAUGGGAGUGAGCCUGAGGCAGCAAUGCCGCGUGGGUGAAUAAGGCCAUCGGGUUGUAAAGCAAUGUCAGCGAGGAGUAGUUACUCGCAGAAGAAGCACCGGCUAACUCCGUGCCAGCAGCCGCGGUAAUAC